AUGUUUCUUACGUUUACUGUGCUCUUUAAUUCCUGAUUCAUCGAUGGUGAAGACAAUCAUGUAUUUAUACUUCCAAGACAAUCAUGAAUGAUUUGAGAGCCAAAUGAGCUGAAGUAUGAUAUCUCUACUGUUAGUGAUUUAUGUAACAAAUGGCUAUCUAUACUUAAACCACAACUUUAAACCUGAGUUUAAGUUAAACCUGCUAUCAGAAUACGGGCCUCUGGAUCCGCCAGCGCCACUGAAUGAAAUGCUCCACGCCGCCUCGACCUCGGCUCGACAAUGUGGCCUCGCCGGCGGGCCGAAGAGCCGUGCGCGUCGGCCACCACUCGGCGCGGCCUCGUCGUCGUACUUCACUUUGCAGAUCAACGGAAACGGUCACGUCAGCGUUUACUCGAGGAGUUUGAACUUAUUUUUUAUAUACAUAUCUUCAUCGUAUACACAGUCAUUAGUCAACUAUGACAAGAGGAAACCAGAGAGAGCUUGCUCGGGCCAAGAAUGCCAAAAAGCAACAGGGAAAAUCUGCUGCUGACCAUAAAGGAAACAAGGGAAAGUCACUGGAUGAUAGGAAACAAAGAGACGCUGAUAUAAUGAGAAUCAAACAAGAGAAGGCAGCUGCAAAGAAGGCAGAAGGGGCAGCCGGGACUUCUAAAAAGUAAUGUCAGGAUGUGGAAUGUGUUGAAUUUGUGUUCACCUACAUGUAGACUAUUGGAAGUGCCAGCAAUGCUUUAGAACAAUGACCAAGAAAUAGAGGCGCAAUGAGAAAUAUUUUUAUAACCAUACAUCAAGUAACCUGUCCUAUAUUUUGGAAAGAAAAGCAGUGAAUGUUGAUAAAUAACUGAUAUGUACGUAUAGAGUAGAAACAUCAAUGAGUGUUUAUUACAUUAUUUUUACAUGUAUGUAGAUUUGUUCAAGUAAUACAUGUAGCCUCCAUAUUAUUUGUAUUAUAUCUACAAGUAAAAGGCAAACAUUGAUUAUCCAUAAAACUUCCUCUGAGACCUAAAAAUUGGGAGUGUUGCCAUUGGAUUGAAAAUGCCUGAUCAGUGAUCACUUUUCUGUUUAUAAAGCAAAAAUUACCAAUCAGCAAAUACUACUUUAAUUAUUGAUAUUAUCAGGUGUGUUCUGGUCAAAGAAGUCAUACACCAUUGUGGUUUAAUAAGUCCAAUUUGAGUUAAUAAGGAUAAAAAAAUUAGCGAAUUAAUGUGAAGGUAAUAAAGAACUGACAGUAUUGUUUGAUUCUUGAAUGACUUUGUUAUUUCGAAAAAAAGAAAUUGAAUUUAGUUCCCAUUUGUACAGAGAUUAUCAUGUUUAUUGUAAGUUGUAACUAUUUUUUUAAAUCUUUAUUUUACCAGUAAAUUCAUUGAAUCAUUUGUACAUUGCAUUUGGCAUUAAUAUGUGACACUAACACCAUUUAAUUUGAUUCAUUUUCAAUUAAUUCAGAUAAUAUCCCCUUUUUUUUACAUAUAUAUUUGCAGCCUGUAGGAUCACUUUACAAAUUUCAGUUGAAUAUUAUUGAUGCUCCUGACAAGGGAUCAUUAACAGAGCUGCCAAAUAGUUUUGACUGGAUGUUGCGGUAUCCACCUGUAACUCAUGUUACAUAAGUUACAAAUCGAUGCAGAGGUUCGAUUCCUGGGUCAUAUCUUUCGGAUGGUGAACAUGAAAGGUUGGUCCCAGACUCCCAGAUGUAAAAAAAAAAAUCAUUAUCUGAUUGAUACACAUCUGUAAAAACUCAAUGACACACACUGAACACUUUGUUGUCUAGGAGACUUCCUGAAAAUAAUAUAGAAAUUUUCAAAAUCUCCUCAUUUCCUUCAUUACAUUUGAUCAAGAAAGAUCUUGUUGAGUUCAUACUGAAUUCUUCCUGAAUAUUUCAGUUCACAGCUCUGCAUUCAUCCAUUGACCAUACAUCAUGAAAGCAAUAAGAUCAAAUUUGAAUAAAUAUUUGAAAUCCUUUCUAGUCAGAUAAGUUCCUAUGAAUUCAAUAAUAAUAAUGAUCAGGGGCAUGUUUCAUACAACCAUUGUCUCUGCCAUCAUGGUAACAGGGCUCAGCAGCCAAUCAAAAUCAUAGUUUCCAUGGUAGUUACAAUUAUGGUGAAAGUACCAAAUGUUGUAAUUUUUAAUAGCCUCAGGUCUUUUGUAGACAUGUACAUGUAUGAGUAUAUACAUGCAUUAUAAGGAAAAAAUAAAGGUCACAAUCUACACAGUGAUGAUGACAAUAUCAUCGUAAUGAAAGUAGUGUGAGUAAGAAGAAGAUUAAAACAGUGUCUUUUACCAUGAUAGGAUGUACAGUACAUGCUGUAUAAGUCUUUUGAGACAUUGCUAAAAAAAGUGUGGGUUGAAUAUAUGAAGUAUUAAAAAUACAUUGACCCAAGUUCCUGUUCUAUUAUGAACGUGGCGGUCUGAAAAACAAUGCUAGGAUUACGGAUUGAGUAUACCCUUUUUUGGUGUUCACAAUAAGUAAUAUCUUUAAAUUGUCCAUUAUUGACUGUGUAAAAGGCAUUUUUCAUCACCCAUAAACUGAUCAUGGCUCGUAACACAAAGCUGUUUGAUUGACGUUAUAGGUGAUUUGUAUGAGCAAUUGCACCUAAUAAUCAGGGCAGUCAAUUAUAAAAAUACAGUCCUAUGAUCAAUCACUAAGCUUUAUGUAACUUGGUCUCGAUUGGUCUUUAUUAUUAUGAUCUAAGUUAUAUUGCGAUGUUUAGAAAUAACCUGAACAAUGAGAAUCCAAGAGGGAUAAAAAUAUUGACUUACACACACCUGUUACUUUGCAGAUAUUGAUUACAUGUAGAUAGAUACACCUAUUCAUUGUAAUAUUAAAAUCAUAAUUACGGUGCAUACAGUUGUAUUUUGAUUAUAAAUUCAUAAUCAUGAUACAUUCCCCUUUCUAUACCUUUUCCAUGUAUUUCCCCCUAAAAAAAACUUGUACAUUUAUGUUUUUAUUGCUCUAUUAUAAGAACUAUUCACAUUUGCUUGUUCAUGUACAUUGUAUAUUAAACCACUCCUGCAUUAGUAGUAUUUGCCAGUACAAAAUAAGCAGACUUCUUAUUGAUAGUGUUGUAUCUGAUAUUGUUUAUAUUAUCAUCACCACCAUCAUCAUCAUCAUCAUCACCACCAUCACCACCACCAACACCAUCAUCAUCAUCAACCUCUUCAUCAUCAUUUAUCCUAUCAAAGGCUACCUUUAGCUAAGGUUUAAACAUGGUAUAAGGCAACAUUCUUCAAUCAGUGCAUCACAUACGUGUACAUUUAUUUCCUAUGAUACAGUUACAUAUAUUUUUUCCCAUUGUUUUUUUUAAAUCAUAUUCCUAAGUUCACUGUGCAAAAAAUGUAUAUGUUAUCAUCUACUAUGUCAUUACAUGUGGUUGUAGUCCAUUUUUUGCCCCAAUCCCUUGCACUCUCUCCACAGAAUAGUUUACAAGAUAGAUGGCGCAGUGUUCAUUAUUUACUAUUAUUUGAUUUUUCCAUAAAAGAAGAUUCGUUAUAAAGGCACAUCUUUUUACUUUACAAGAUUUCUCGUUCAUGUGAAGUAUUUUCCAUGUUUUUUCUCCCAUGAAAUACACUGUAGAUAGCAAUGUGCUCAUACUGUGUACAAUCAUAAGAAUAGUUCAAUUUAUAACUAAUAAAAUGUUGUUUUCAAA